CCUACGGGAGGCAGCAGUGAGGAAUAGUGGUCAAUGGCCGGAAGGCUGAACCAGCCAAGCCGCGUGAAGGACGAAGGUGCCAAGCAUUGUAAACUUCUUUUGUCAAGGGACAAAAUCAGGCUCGAGAGCCUGACCGAGGGUACUUGAAGAAAAAGCAUCGGCUAACUCCGUGCCAGCAGCCGCGGUAAUACGGAGGAUGCGAGCGUUAUCCGGAUUUAUUGGGUUUACAGGGUGCGUAGGCGGACUGUUAAGUCAGCGGGAAAAGCCCGGGGCUCAACCCCGGCGAGCCGUUGAAACUGGCUGUCUUGCGCUGUCGAGAGGUAUGCGGAAUGCGCCGUGUAGCGGU
rnacentral:rRNA from 1 species